GCUGGGCGUGGGGGCUCACGCCUGUAAUCCCAGCGGCUUUGGAGGCUGAAGCAGGAGGAUUGCAAGUUCAAAGCCAGGCUUAGCAACUUAGCAAGGCCCUAAGCAACCCAGUGAGACCCUGUCUCUC
rnacentral:sRNA from 1 species